ensembl:lncRNA
CUAGGAGUCAAAUUGGAGCUAUAGCUGCUGGCCUACACCCCAGCCAGAGCAAUAUGGGAUCCUUAACCCACUGAGCAAGGCCAAGGAGAAAACCCACAUCCUCAUGGAUACUAGUUGGCUUGUUUCCGCUGAGCCACAACAGGAACUCCUCCCACAGUUCAUACCUUCAACCACCACACACUGCCUCUCACCUGGCCAAAGCGACAAAGGCAGCUACUCAUUUGUUUUAUCUGUUGCUUCUACACUUGCUUUUCUUUAAAGAAAGGAACUAUGAAUUUUUUUCAAGUUUGAAAAUCAUUGAACUCAAUCUAAUUAAGUCACUUUCACAUUCUAAAAUCUAACUUCAGGAGUUCCCGUCGUGGCGCAGUGGUUAACGAAUCCGACUAGGAACCAUGAGGUUGCGGGUUCGGUCCCUGCCCUUGCUCAGUGGGUUAAGGAUCUGGCAUUGCCGUGAGCUGUGGUGUAGGUUGCAGACGUGGCUCGGAUUCUGCGUUGCUGUGGCUCUGGCGUAGGCCAGUGGCUACAGCUCCGAUUCGACCCCUAGCCUGGGAACCUCCAUAUGCCGCGAGGCCCUGAAAAGACAAGAAAAAGAAAAUGAAAUUGUGGCUUCGGGAAGCAGGAAGCUUCUGGUCUAAAGAAACAUUGCUGGUGAGCACAGUUCUAUUAGGGAAUCAUGACAGGACAAUGGAAGCUCCUAUCUGCCUCCAGCAGAUGACUGUCUUGUUAUCAUCCUCCCAACACAAAGGGGGAAACUGAGUCCCCUGGAAGCAGGCUUUCCCGUCAAGUGUACACUGAUUGACAUGGAUAGCACCACCGCAGCUAGGAACCCGCUCAGAACACAGAAAGGCUACAUAUGGCCAAAAGGCUGUGGAAAAAUAAGCAGAGUUGUUUAACAAUUAAAUCAGUGCUAUGUCAGUGCUGGACUUCCUUGGGGGAAAAUUAUUUCUCUGACAAUCAACAAAUAAUUUUAGAUGGGUGGACUACCCGCCGACUGAUAAUGGAGAUUUUCACAAAACUCCAGGCAUAAAACUCCAGGAAAUGAAAUUAAAAAAGCAAGGUAAAUCACCAUCAGUUUAUUUAUGUUAUUCAUACCAUUCUAAUUGUAAAACCCAAGCUGAAGACGAAGAAGAGAUCAGCUCAGCAGGGUGACAAAGGUUGCAAGGCAGCGCUCCCCACUGUUUCCAAAAGCACUCAUGCCCUGCACUCCCUCCCCACACAGAGCUGCUCCAUGGUCCCCCAAGAAGGAAACAGACAGCGAGGUGUUCUUCCCCUCCACACCCUGCGUGACUAGCAGCACUAAGCACUGGACUCUGGGGAUUUUAAACAAGCCCAGGCAAGCACUCAUUUAGUCCUCCUCCUCCAGAAAAUACAAACAAGAGUCAGAGCAUGGAUUCUCAAAAGACUCACCAGUUUCUAAAUGCCAGUCCUAGGACCCAUGGACCCUUAAGAUAACAUUUUUUACCAGUCCAGGGAAAAAUGAGAAACGUGAGGGCAAUGGGAUGAGUUUUCCAAAAGACGAAUCUGUUGAAUUUAAAGAACUGGGUUGUUUGGGGUUUUUUCCUAAUAAUAUGCACUCCCUGUAUUUUACAGAUGUGAAUGUCAUAUUAUUUAUAACAUGAAGGUAAUACAUCAUACUAGAUUUUUUAAUGUCCUUACGAAAUGUGAUUUGUCAACCCCCAAAGAUUGGUUUUGAGAUAUUGCUAGCUAAUGAGAUUAAACAGAUUGUCCAGCUUUGCUCCUUGGGUGUGCUAGAGUCAUCAAUCCACAUGAGGCUCCCUCUCCUGGGUCAGUUUCACCCUCAUCCCUGCUCCUCCACGUUCCUUCUCCACUCCUCCAGGUAAGUGUCCACCCCACCGUGGUCAGUGAAAAAGAUAAGCAACAGUCCCUGUGCAUGAAAAGGAUAUUUUCACUCAAAUGGCCUCAUGUACUUAGAAGUAGCUAAACAAAUCCAAGCACCUACACUGGAUCUCUCAUUUUAUGGUCACGGUAACUGGGGCAAGAGACAUGAAGUGACAGCCCUUGGUCACAAGAAGGUAUGAAUCCUCUUGUACUCUUUCUGCUUUUCAAUAAGGUUUUUGGCCAUUUCCCUAAAAAAAAAAAAAAUACAUAUAUACACACUUUUUAAAUUUUCUGAAAGAAAUACAAUGAAUCACGUGUUUAUUAAAGUACUCAAUAAUCUCAAAACCAAAACUCCCUAUGAGUCUAGCUAUUUCUUUUUUCAAUAAUUCAAUGGGAGUUCCCGUCAUGGUUCAGUGGUUAAUGAACCCAACUAGUAUCCUUGAGGAUGCGGGUUCAAUCCCUGGCUUCAGUGGGUUAAGCAUCCAGCGUUGCUGUGAACUGUGGUAUAUGUCGCAGAUGCGGCUCAGAUCCCAAGUUGCUGUGGCGGUGACUGUUGCGUAGGCUGGCAGCUACAGCUCUAAUUCAAUCCCUAGCCUGGGAACCUCCAUAUGCAGUGGGUACAGCCCUAAAAAGCCCAAAAAAAAAAAAUUCCAAAGAAUUUUAUUAUAUUUAUAGUUGUACAAUAAUCAUCACAACUUAAUUUGAGUCUAGCUAUUUCUAUAAGGUUAUACUGAUCCCUUGAAAGGUCUGGUGGAAUUGAUCCAUCUAAGAUAACACAACUUGAAAGAUGAUUAUUUAGGCAUAUUAUAAUGUGAUAUGCAGAAAUUCACUUUAGGAAUCCCCUUAGGAUCUUUAGAGGUGUUCUUGUAAAAAAAAAAAAAAAAAAAAAAAAAA